rnacentral:rRNA from 1 species
GAUGAACGCUGGCGGCGUGCUUAACACAUGCAAGUCGAACGGUGAAGCAGGAGCUUGCUCUUGUGGAUCAGUGGCGAACGGGUGAGUAACACGUGAGCAACCUGCCCCUGACUCUGGGAUAAGCGCUGGAAACGGCGUCUAAUACUGGAUAUGUGAUGUGACCGCAUGGUCUGCAUCUGGAAAGAAUUUCGGUUGGGGAUGGGCUCGCGGCCUAUCAGCUUGUUGGUGAGGUAAUGGCUCACCAAGGCGUCGACGGGUAGCCGGCCUGAGAGGGUAACCGGCCACACUGGGACUGAGGCACGGCCCAGACUCCUACGGGAGGCAGCAGUGGGGAAUAUUGCACAAUGGGCGGAAGCCUGAUGCAGCAACGCCGCGUGAGGGAUGACGGCCUUCGGGUUGUAAACCUCUUUUAGCAGGGAAGAAGCGAAAGUGACGGUACCUGCAGAAAAAGCACCGGCUAACUACGUGCCAGCCGCCGCAGUAA